CUGUUAAUUGAAUCUCUCAUUAUUCCGUAACCAAACGUCAUUCCAGUAGAUAAAUGAGGAAAAUAAAUAAAAAUGAGACUGUGCGUGAUCAAUAUAUUUAUUAUACUCCAGUAAACAAAAUAUUCCGGCGUUUCGUCAGACUUUGAGAAAACUCAUGACACGAUAUCAUUUGCAUGUCUCUCGACAAUUCAGGGGUGGAGCGGUUAAAUGAGGUGAGGAAAGCUGUUCUUCAGUCCAGUUAUUGAAUUAGACGUGGCUUUUGGUGCCCACGCAUCAAGUUCCUGUGGCUUGACCUCGAUUGUACCCUCGGGGUAUUUAAAACAUGACGACACGAGGAUUCCAUUCAAAUUAACACCUUCCACCAAUCACCGCCCCCCAUCAGCUUGCGUCAUAUUGGUAAUCAUCGACAGGACUUUGGGGAGAGAACAAACCGGUGAAAGCGAUGAUGGAUUUUUAACUGAGAAAACCUUCGGCCCGCAUUUACAUUGUGAUGAUUGUCGUUCCACUAGAACGAUGAGGAAGAUGAUAAUUAUUUUUUCCGAGAUAAGGAGAUGAUCUGAUGGAACGCACGAAGCAUAACCCGGAGGGUAUAGGAAAAAUUUAAUGAUGAAAGUUCUUCGUGAGAGAAGAGUGGAGAAAAGCAACAGGAGGGCACACGUAAAAAUGCCAAUGUCAUAAUUCAAAGAGCAAGAGAAGAACCCGAAUGAAUUUUCGAUGAAAUGGGGAAUUAAAUCCACUGAGCUCACC